rnacentral:rRNA from 1 species
AUUGAACGCUGGCGGCAGGCCUAACACAUGCAAGUCGAGCGAGCGGCGGACGGGUGAGUAAUGUAUGGGGACUGCCCGAUAGAGGGGGAUAACUACUGGAAACGGUAGCUAAUACCGCAUACUAUCGGAUAACCCAUAUGGGAUUAGCUAGUAGGUGAGGUAAUGGCUCACCUAGGCGACGAUCCCUAGCUGGUCUGAGAGUGUGUACAGCCACACUGGAGUGGUGAACCGGCCCAGACUCCUACGGAGGCGGCAGUGGGGAAUAUUGCACACUGGGGGCAAGCCUGAUGCAGCAAUGCCGCGUGUAUGAAGAAGGCCCUAGGGUUGUAAAAUACUUGCAGUCGGGAGGCGGUACCGACAGAAGAAGCACCGGCUAACUCCGUGCCAGCAGCCGCGGUAAUAC